UUUUAUUAUUAUUUAUUUUUAUUAUUAUUAUUUUUUAAAAUAGAGACAGGGUCUCUAUUUCUCACCAGAGCAUGGUUGAUUCCUAGUUUCAUAAACUAUACAGCUAAUGUGUGUAAACUGUCUUGAUUGCUGUGAUAUCUGGCUUUUUUUUUUUUUUAAUUAUAAAAAAAACUUUUUGCAGAGACGAGGUUUCACUAUGUUGCCCAGGCUGGUCUCAAAUUCCUGGGCUCAAGCCAUCCUCCCACCUCAGCCUCCCAAAGUGCUGGGAUUACAGGUAUGAGCCACCAUGCUUGACAUGGUUCAUUUUAAAAGAUUGCAUCACUUUUGGCCUGGCUGUGAGACAUCCCUCCUUGUUAUAUCUUAUUUUGUUGCUGUUGCUUUUGUUUCUCCCCACACCCGUGCCCCCAUGGGGGUCCUUGGCCAGCUCUACUCCGACUGCAGUUGUAGAACUGGGCAGAGAAGGUGUGACACCCCCUCCCCCAUUAUACCUCAGAAAGAACUAGAAGUAUGAUAAAU
rnacentral:lncRNA from 1 species